rnacentral:rRNA from 1 species
GAUGAACGCUGGCGGCGUGCCUAACACAUGCAAGUCGAACGGACAUUUUUUGGAAAGCUCUUCGGAACUGGAAUCUAAAUGUUAGUGGCGGACGGGUGAGUAACGCGUGAGCAAUCUGCCUUUCAGAGGGGGACAACAGUUGGAAACAGCUGCUAAUACCGCAUAAUGCAACGGAAUCGCAUGACUCUGUUGCCAAAGAUUUAUCGCUCUGAGAUGGCCUCGCGUCUGAUUAGCUAGUUGGCGGGGUAACGGCCCACCAAGGCGACGAUCAGUAGCCGGACUGAGAGGUUGGCCGGCCACAUUGGGACUGAGACACGGCCCAG